AUUCAUUCUUAAAACAGUUAAUGCACUAUGUAUGUGUGCCUUUACAUAUUCUCAAUGCUUAAGAGUUCAAAUAAUACUUUCACUUUGUUAUUGUCUUACCUGUAUCCGGGUCAGAACAGAGGUCAGAGAGUACUUUACAAGUAGCCUAACUGCAAGUUUCUCAACUAUGUACAAUGGCACUGCUGGUUAAGGUAUGCUAUGCGUAGAUCGCUAAUCGCGUGGCGUGUCCAACGCCUGCACCGUGCCUCUGGCUCCGGGUGAUCCCCUUGACCGAACGUCGCUCAAGACCUCCUGGCACCUCUGGAAUCGGGGACACGCUACUUCUACACAUGGAUUAACGCCCGGCUAUUGCAAAGGAUCUAUCAAAGAGGCCGUCUGCGGUCAAGUGAUACCCAUGUCGCACAAACUUCCGAUGGAGGUCAGAGACUCAAAUAAGAACGUCAAGCAGCAGUUCUUGGCUUUUGUUAAACGUGUGGUUCCAGUUUUUCAAGGAUGAUACAAAAAGCUCCUUGCUGGCAUCCCCAAUACCUUUGAAGCUGAAAAAUCAUAAUCAAAAUCAAAUUCAAAUCUGGACCCAAUAUAGGAAACAUUUUAAUUUCAUACAAAUGAUUGGCUUCUUUCUCUCCAUUGACUUUUAAUCACCUCUUUCCACCCUCCAAAUUGGAUUUAGCAUUCAAAGCCUGGCAUAGUUUUAUAAAAUUGUAUUUUUCUGACUUAUUUGCCGAUGACCCAUUCAGGUCAUUCAGUUCUUUGUGUCAGGAACACAAUAUCCCAAAAACGUGUUGCUUCCCUUUUUCCAAGUUCACCUCCAAAUACUUCUACUCCCAUCCCCCCCCCACCCAGAAAGAAAUGCAAAUCUUACGUUCAAUCCAUUUCCAACAAUUCAACACCAGGUUUGCUUGGGAAUUGGAUUAAAAAUGAAAAUCUCAAAUUAACUGUGGGACUACACUAUCUCCCUAAUCCAUUUCCAUCUUUCUGUGUAAAACACAAUCUAAUUUAAAUUAAAAUAUUUCAUACAUUACAUUCAUUUAUGAUAAACCUUCUAGAAUUCCCCCAUCUGUUUGUCCAGAAAGUCCUAGAUGCGACAGUAUUCCAGCCUUCCUGGGACAUUGUAUACAGUUGUAUUUAUUUAAUGUUUUAUCUCUAGAAAAAUGACAGUCCAGACCUUGGUGACCUCAUUGCUGGCGACCAGCAUGGCUCUGGUCCUGCCAACUGCUUACCGGCCUCUAGGCCUCAAUUUUUUAAUGUUUCUCAUCAUAGAUAGUGUGGUUCCCUGGGG
ensembl:lncRNA